rnacentral:rRNA from 1 species
AGCUGAAAGACGGCAUCUCGCUGUCACUUACAGAUGGGCCCGCGGCGCAUUAGCUAGUUGGUGAGGUAACGGCUCACCAAGGCAACGAUGCGUAGCCGACCUGAGAGGGUGAUCGGCCACACUGGGACUGAGACACGGCCCAGACUCCUACGGGAGGCAGCAGUAGGGAAUCUUCCGCAAUGGACGAAAGUCUGACGGAGCAACGCCGCGUGAGUGAUGAAGGUUUUCGGAUCGUAAAGCUCUGUUGUUAGGGAAGAACAAGUACAAGAGUAACUGCUUGUACCUUGACGGUACCUAACCAGAAAGCCACGGCUAACUACGUGCCAGCAGCCGCGGUAAUACGUAGGUGGCAAGCGUUGUCCGGAAUUAUUGGGCGUAAAGCGCGCGCAGGCGGUCCUUUAAGUCUGAUGUGAAAGCCCACGGCUCAACCGUGGAGGGUCAUUGGAAACUGGGGGACUUGAGUGCAGAAGAGAAGAGUGGAAUUCCACGUGUAGCGGUGAAAUGCGUAGAGAUGUGGAGGAACACCAGUGGCGAAGGCGACUCUUUGGUCUGUAACUGACGCUGA